UUUUUUGUUUUUUGUUUUUUUUUAAUUUUAUUUAUUCAUGAGAGACACAGGCAGAGGGAGAAGCAGGCUCCCUGCAGGGAUCCCAAUGCAGGACUCAAUUCCAGGACCCUGGGAUCACAACCUGAUCCAAAGGCAGACGCUCAACCACUGAGCCAGUCAUGUUUUCAAUAGCUACAAAACAAUGACAAAAUUUCUAGUAGCAAACAGGGAAGGUUCCACAUGAAAAUUGUGCUUAAAUGACACAGGAGCACAGACAAAGCCUCCUGAGGCAGGGAGCAGAUGCCCACAUGUGCCUUACCUGAGAACACAGACAAGGUGAUUUUAAAGUCACAGGAGAAAAGCGGGUAGGCAGAAAUAGCCACCAUUUGUUUUAACACCUGUCCUGGUGUGCCGUCAAUGAAAUGACACGCUCCUGACAGAGGGCAGCCCUCAGGAACCAGAUGGUCUAUAAGAUAACCCGGCGUGAGCACCAUGUUGCCAGGGAAGACCUGAAUUACCACCUCAAAGAGAAGCAAAGUUGGAUGACUCUUGGCACCAAGAUGAGUUCCAGUGAUUUAAAUGGAAGAAGAAAACCUGAGAUACGAUUAUUUUUAUUCUCAUUGGAAAAAAAUCUAACCAUGAGUUGAGAUACAUUCCUUUCUUAAGUGACAAGUGGCAUUCUGAAAGUUGGCACAGCACGCUGCAAAGCUCUGGAGAAGACCAGGACAACUGAGUGCAUGGAGCUGCCAGUGGGCAAGGGUGGGCCAGCAGCCCGUGGUGUGGGGAGGGUGGGCAUGCUCUGGGUGGGCCUUAGAAUGAGCCGGGCCAAAGAUGAGGGUACGGGGAACGCCCACCCACUGUGAUUUCCAGGAAGGAGAAAAGCCACUCUGGAAGCGGGCUGCACUCCAGGGGUCAUCCUGAGACCCGUCCGUUUAGCCGCUUGUAGGUGUCUGGACGUCAUCCUGUGGAGAGGCCGCCCGGCUGGGCAGGAGUGGGGAUUGGGGGCUGGGGGCCUAAACAAGCCACUGGGAAGCACUGGGAAGCUCAGGCUCCUUCCAGCAGUGGGGAGACUGGCCUGCAGGUGGCUGUGGGUGGAUGAGAGCCCCCUCCCCCAUCUCAGGCCCCGGGUGAGGGGCCCAGGGUGAUGAACUGGCCUGUUGUGCUGGGCUGCAGGAGGGCAGGGCCUGGGGGCAGUCGGGGGGCAAUGGAGGCUGCAGUAUGGAUGUAGCCAUGGGCAGGGACGACCUGGUGGGCCCAGAGUCACCACGUGGGGUGACGGGUUCUCAGCAACCUCACAAGCCUGGAUCAACUUCGGUGAUGCUCGUGUGUGCAUGUGCACCUCUGACCCAGAGUCCAUUGCCGCCCACUUAUGUGGAAAUACCUCUGCUGUCCUAACGUGACGGAAGGGUUCCUGCCAUCCCCCGGCCCGUGGCAGAGUGUGUGUGUGUGUGUGUGUGUGCACGCCUGUGUGUGUCAAAUGAGGGAUGAGUUUGAGCGAACGUGUGAGAUGGCAGGAAGGAAGGGCGUCCUGGAGGGCCAGGAACAGGGCACAGGGGCCGCAUGCCCACCGUGCUGAUUUCUGUCAAAACAAAUUAAUGACAGAUGAGGAAGACCGGAAGGGUGCCCGUGCCCCUGCGCCCGCCGUCCUCAACUUCCUGUACACGGAGCAGUGCUGUAAUGGUGCAAACCUCCCUUUCCUUGACCCCUGUACGUGCAGUUUCUCAAGUCUGUACUGCACACAGGACAUGAGGCCCGGGCUCCCCCCACUCCCCCGAGCUGCUCCCCUGCUGCUUUCUCCAAUUUCUGACCACUCUCAGCAAAUCACCUCUGUGUUUCUGCAUUUGGAUUCUUAAUCAAACCUGGCACGCGGUGUCUACAAGCCAAAUGUCCGUCACUGGCAGGGGCAGCCUCGCCGUCCUCCCCAGAGCCCAGGAGUGGGCUGGCCCGCACCCGCCCCACGUGGCCCCACAGCCCAGACUCGGCUCCUGCCCGGGGCCCGCUCGCACUGCUGACGGGACACGCCCUGGCCGUCUGCCUGAAUCCUUAUUCUGCACAGCUGCUCCUCCUGACUGCGCAGGGAACUCCAGGUUCAAAGUCAUUUCCUCAGGGUACCUGGGUGGCUCAGCGGUUGAUCGAUCCUCUGCCUUCGGCUCAGGGCAUGACCCCGGGUCCCGGAAUCGAGUUCCGCAUCAUGCUCCCUGCAGGGAGCCUGCUUCUCCCUCUGCCUGUGUCUCUGCCUCUCUCUCUGUGUGUCUCUCAUGAAUAAAGUUAAAAAAAAAAAAAAAAGACAACAAAGUAGUUUCCUCAGAACUCUGAAGAUGCUGUAAGUUUCCACUGCCAUUUUGUAACCUGUUUUUUGGAGUGUUUUCCACAAAAUGUUGAGGUCUUGUGUUCCUGACUUUUCCCGUCUAGUGGAGCCCUCUAGUGCUGCCUGACCACCAGGACACGGCUCCAUUGGAGAGGGGCCCCCCACCACACCCUUCCCAUUGCAACUUCCCUGGGAGAAAGUCUAGCAAAUGCCUGCCACAUGCCAGUGGCAGCGACGGCCUCUGCAGCACUCUCCCCGCUGGUUUUCUGAGCACUCGGCCCCACAGCACACCCGCUUCUCUGGCCGCGGGGUCUUCUCUGCCCUCAGAGGUCCGGCCACAGAGCGGUCAGGUUCUCAGGUUGGCACAGAGCCAGCGGCCCAGAGCUCGGGCUUUGUGGGCCUCAUGCGGUCACUGUGCCAAGGCCUCCUUUACCCCAACUUUGAGACGUCACUUGCAGCAAAUGGCUCAUUACCAGGCCACAUACACAGACGCAGAGUCAGGGUCUCUUGGUGGCUCUGGCCUAAGUCAUGGGCCUUAGAAUGAGCUGGGCCAAAGAUGAGGGUACGGGGAACACCACUGCGAUUUCCAGGAAGGAGAAAAGCCACUCUGGAAGCAGGCUGCACUCCUGCAUGAUGCACUUUCUGCAUCACCGUGCACCCUCCUCCCUGGUGCACCCCUGAAACCGAAUAGUGGCUGCCACCUGCUCCAGUGGUCCUAUCACUGGGCUCCACUCGCCCAUCUCCUCCAGUGCUUUGUAGGGUGCAUCUUGCCCAGCAGGGGCAGCGUCAGGUGCAGGACACAUUCCCUGAACAUAGGACUGGCGAGGUGCCAGGAUGAGACAUGAGGAAGGAUUUGAGGUGGAGAAGAAACACAAGUGUGGGUGUGAUGAACCAAGGAAGGAAUCAGAGGAAAUGGUCUUUGGCCUGGGAGCUGUCAGUCAGGGGCUGCUAGAGGCAGGCAGAGGCAGGGCUCUGGAUGAGGACACGAUGAGGUGUACAGACUGGGAGGAAAGGGCUCAGUAGAGAGAUCAUGCCCAAGGGUGUGUGCGUGUGUGCAUUGGUGCAUGUGUGAGCGUGUUUGCCUAUGUGUACUUGUGCAUGUGUGUACAUACAUACAUGUCAUGAGUUCUGUGCACGUUUGUGUAUGCAUGUUUUGUGUGCAUACAUGUGUGUAUAUAAAUCUAUUUGUGCAUAAAUGUGCGUGUUCAUUUGUGUUUAUGUAUUUGUGCACAUCUGUGUGUGUAUACACGUGUGUAUGUUUGUGCAUAUUUGUGUAUGGAUAUAUUCUUGUGAAAACAAGUUAUUAUGUAAAAGUUGGUACAGAUGUGGAUAAAUGCAAAGCAACAGACUGUAAACCUGGGGAGAUUUUGAAGGGUUAUCAGUGACGAAGGAAUUGAGAUCAACUGCUUAGUAAGCCAAGACAUUGCAUUUGACAGUGGACACUGUGUUCUGGGUCUCUUCCCAGUGAUGGAACAUUCUCUAGGCGUGGGAGUCAGUGCCAAGAGAUAGUUUCAGGCUGCAGCUCUGAAGUCAGAUGGCACAGGGGUCAGAGCCUGGCUCUGACACGGUCCGGGUGCCCCUACAAAAAUUACUUGAAUUUUCUAAACCUGGUUUUCUUGUCUUCUUGAAGAGGAUAAUGCUAGCUAGCUCGUGGAGUUCUGAGUUAAUGCGUGCAGGGGUCCUCAUACCACAUUCUGCCCUCCACAAAAGAGUGAGUGGCGUCAGUGCCCAUCACAGACAAAAUCUGCUCACAGGAGAGCAGGGAAGUAUGGGAAGGGAAUAAACUGGCCAAAUGCCCUACGAAGCAGAGAACUAAGACCAACAUCUCCAUCACCCACCAGACAGGCGUGUUAAAUACAAAAACACACGGGGUAAGAUAAUGAAAAACGAUCUACCAGGAAAACUAGUCAAGAAAUCAACAGUGGCCUCAUUCAUACCAAGCAGCACCCAAGACAAGAUGUACUUCCAGAGACGAAGAGCUCACUUCAGAAGAAGAAUGGGUGCAUCUGCCAGACUUAACUGUGAAUGUGCAGGCAUCUAAGUAACAGUCUCAGGAGGCUCGGAGCAAAAUCUGGCAGAACUGAGAAGAGCAGCGGCAGACAGAUCCGUGUUUGUAGUCGGAAGCUUCAAUGCUUUGUUCAGUACUUGAUAAACAGAAAACCAGGAAAAAUAUGAGCUAUGAUCCACCAACCUGACCUUUUUUUUAAAAAAAAAAAAAAAAAA
rnacentral:lncRNA from 1 species